ACCUGCAUCGAAAGUGAUUGUGGUCUGCUGUGUGACCCGGUCAUUGAUACUGCAGGGAGAGAAGCCGUUGAAAGUAUUUCCCGUGUUUGGAGCAGCUCACACCAUGCCUACCAAACCCUGUCACUUUCGCACA